AACGAACGCUGGCGGCAUGCCUAACACAUGCAAGUCGAACGAGACAUUCGGGUCUAGUGGCGCACGGGUGCGUAACGCGUGGGAACCUGCCCUUAGGUUCGGAAUAACUCCCCGAAAGGGGUGAUAAUACCGGAUAAUGUCAUCGGACAAAAGAUUUAUCGCCUUUGGAUGGGCCCGCGUUGGAUUAGCUAGUUGGUAGGGUAAAAGCCUACCAAGGCGACGAUCCAUAGCUGGUCUGAGAGGAUGAUCAGCCACACUGGGACUGAGACACGGCCCAGACUCCUACGGGAGGCAGCAGUGGGGAAUAUUGGACAAUGGGCGAAAGCCUGAUCCAGCAAUGCCGCGUGAGUGAUGAAGGCCUUAGGGUUGUAAAGCUCUUUUACCCGGGAUGAUAAUGACAGUACCGGGAGAAUAAGCUCCGGCUAACUCCGUG
rnacentral:rRNA from 1 species